AGUCCACAUCACCCCCCGGGGAUUCAGAAACCGACUAAUCCACCCCCUCAACUUUAAAACCGGUUAAUUAACCCCCCGAGAGCUCUAAUACCGGUCAAAUCACCCCCUAAUCCCAAUUCAGGUGGUAUUGGCUGGUGGUUUUGCUUGCGUGGCUCUCUAUUGCCACGUCGGCUUGGUUGGGGGCGCUAGGCCAUAUGAGCACGGGCCGCUGGUUGUUCUUAGUUCAUCCAAUCCCCAAUCCUUCAUCUCUUCCUCCUCCCUGUUCGUCGCCAUGCCCACCCAGCUGAAGCUACAUGUACCUUGUUCUCGGGUUCCUCUCCCCUGCUCGCAGCCAUGGCCGACCCCCUCGUAGCACUCUGAAGAACUCUGAAGAGCCCCCCCGGCGACCUGGAGGCGCCCUGAACAAGGACCGCCCUUGCCAUGGCUGAACAGCACAGCGCAGUCUCAUAUUGGAGUUCCCUGUUUGAUGCACAUCGUGAGUAUUAGGACAGUACAGGCUAGAGAUCAUCAGAGACUCAGGUCAAGUGCUACAGGUGGAGUGGGGCUAGAAGGUGAACAAUUUCACCAAGCCGUUCCUUGUACAUGAUCCGAAUAGACCAGGAUUUGGCAGAGCCCAAAACUGAAGCCUGCUCAGUGCAUCCGUACUUGCAGGAAAACUACAUACAAAAUCCUCCCAGGGGCCCAAAUGGUGUACAUUAUACUCUUUGUAGGCAUGUAUUGAUGCCUUGAGAAGAGAGAAUUCAGUUUACUUGAGAUUGAGAAUUAGUAUGUGUAAAAAUGUUUAUAUUCUCUUGUUGAUGGUGUUGUCCCAGUUUAGUUGAGAACUAGAGAAUUCAGAGAAAGCAUUUUAUUUAGGGAGUGUACUUCUGAGUCUAUAGACCGUUGCAUAUGCGCAAACAUAUGUAAUCUGAAUGCAAUAUUUUCUUGUGACAUGAAAGAAAGCUUUUUUGUGAACUGAA